GCCCUGAUGCCUGGCACCACCAGGAGCAGCUGGCUCCAUCUUUCUCACGUAUUCCUAUCCCCAGGCUCGAUUCAGGGCAGCCGCCUCUGCCGCCUGCUCCGUGGCGAGGGGAACGUCAGCCGGUUGCAACGGGGAGAAGUUUUCCAUGAGCACAAGUGCAAAGGGUGGCUGGGCUGCAAGUGGCGGCGGCGGUGGCGCAUCCAUGGAGUACGUCAGCACACGGGGAGGCACAGGGACUGUUGACUUCGAGGGAGCCCUGUUCUCUGGGUACGCACCUGACCAGGGCCUCUUCAUGCCCCAGCACAUCCCCUUGCUGGAUGGGGACACCCUGCGCAGGUGGAGCAGCCUCUCCUACCGGGAGCUGGUGAAGGAGCUGUGCUCCCUCUUCAUCACAGCUGAGCUGAUCCCGCGGAGCAUGCUCAAUGACUUGAUCGACAGGGCCUUCAGCAGGUUCAGACACAAGGAUGUUGUCCAUCUGUCCAGGCUGAAAGAUGGGCUGAAUGUGUUGGAGCUCUGGCAUGGGGUUACUUACGCAUUUAAGGAUCUGUCCUUGUCCUGCACAGGGCAGUUUUUACAGUACUUCUUGGAGAAAAAGCAGAAGCAUGUCACUAUUCUGGUGGGGACUUCAGGGGACACAGGGAGCUCGGCCAUUGAAAGCGUGAGAGGACAGAAGAACAUGGACAUCUUUGUUCUGCUCCCCAAGGGGUUCUGCACCCAGAUACAGGAACUUCAGAUGACCACUGUCAUUGAAGACAACGUCCAUGUAUUUGCUGCUCAUGGGAACAGUGAUGAAAUCGAUGAGCCUAUCAAGGAACUGUUUGCUGAUGUCGAUUUUGCCAGAAAAUACAAUCUGAUGAGCCUGAAUUCCGUCAAUUGGUCGAGGAUUAUGGUGCAGAUUGCUCACCACUUCUAUGCUUACUUUCAGUGUGCCCCAUCCCUGGAUACCACCCCGCUGCCAGUGGUGGAAAUUGUUGUGCCAACAGGAGGAGGAGGAAACAUCACAGCUGGCUGUAUUGCCCAGAAAAUGGGUCUCCCGAUUAGACUUGUUGCUGCAGUCAACAGCAACGACAUCAUUCACAGGACUGUUCAACAUGGAGAUUUCUCACUGUCAGAAAGCGUGAAGGCUACAUUAGCAUCAGCCAUGGAUAUUCAGGCUCCACCAAGAGUAAGAGAAGAAACCGGGAAGAAGGUAGGGAAGCCUAGAAGAAAUGCCUCAUCUAUGGCCAUCUGCAGCUUGCCCAGAGCAGAACAAGUCUCAGCAGGCAGGGAAAGGCCUCAGCCAUGGAAAAGCAUGGAGGAGCCUUACAACGUGGAGAGGAUCCUCUGGCUGCUCUCGGGCUCUGAUAGCCACCUGAUAAAAACACUAAUGGAGAGAUUCAGUGCAUCAAAAAGCCUUACGCUGCCAGAGGAUUUGCACAGAAAGUUCUUUCAGGCUGUAAUUAAACACAGACACCCAGCCCUUUCUGUCUGCAUAGAAAGAGGCAGGCAGGCCUCCGGAGCUCUGCACUUCUUGGAGCAGGAGAGAAGUGGAAAAUGGGGCAAAACCAGUUUCCAUUGAAAACUCACCACCCUGUGCAUGUCCUUCGCGGGGAAAAGCAACCAGCUCAAGGAAAUUAAAGGAAUGUGACUUCCAAGAUCCCAGCCCUGCAAUCAAAGUAAGUUUAUAUGCCCUUAAGAUCUUGCAGCUUCGUACAUUUUAAAGACAGAGGAGAUCACUUUGUCUGAUCUCCGGCACAACACAGGCUGUUGAACAUCACUCUGCUGCGUUCAUUGAGCUCGGCAACUUGUUGGCUUAUGAACAUCUUGAUCUGAAGAUCUGGAGAUAGGAGUCCACCUUUUUCACUUGCUUCUUGAUUUCCCCAGUUUUUUCACCCUCGCUGUGAAAAAAACAGGCAGUGCUGUAAAUUCCCAUCCCCGUGCUGCUCCCGUGGUCAAUAUUAAUCUCCCAGCGCAGGGUGUGCUUCCCAGGGAAACCUGAGCUCCCACCAGCCCUGCUGCCCUCUUGCCCCUCUGGCUUCAAAUAGAAACUUAGUUCUAAAGCCCUCUAGAAAUGCAAAUAAAAAAGUCAGAUGCUCACAUGAUGGAAAGCAACCCCUAAAUAAUAUUUGCCUUAUGCCCACAAUGCUGAACGACACCUACACCCAACAUUACUCCUGCCCUCAAAGGUUUCGCUUAUCUAAAAUGCUACCCUUAAUCAAUAAAUAUAUGAAGAGACACCGGCCGUCUGGUGUACCGCUUAUAAGAGUGGUGGGGGAAGAUGCAGCUUGCUUGGAGGAUGCCCUGGUCAGAGCUGGGUCAUGACAAACAUGUUUCUGUCCCACAGCCAUGUCAGGCAGCAUGGGAGGGAGGAGAGGAGGCAUAGAGUGGGAAUGGAGCCAGCUCCUGCCAGUCACCCCAAAUCCACACAUCCACCUGUAGGUGGACCCAGUUCUCACCAGACAAUGACAAUGAAGAGCUUCACCACGGUGAAGACAGUGGGGACUGUGUUCAACAGCCAAACAUAUGUAUUUUUUUUUGAAUGGAAACAUUUAAGGAUGCAGUUGUGUGAUUUAUAACCUGAGGUCUGUAGAGUAUGUAUGAUAAAUAUACAGAGAACAUAAGACAGACUUACUGCCUGCCUGCAAGGGGGUCCUUGGUUUGGGACAGCACAGUCCUGUGGGCACCCCGAGUGAUGCUCCUCUGCCUUGAUGACCCCCUACACUUUUCAGAAAAAAGCCACAGCCCUUUUGGUGUCCUAUCAACCCAAGGAUGGAUUUGCUGUAGGCUUUUAUGUCCCCCCAGCCCCAUGGCUGGGUCUGUCCUGUGGUUUUCAUGCAGCUGGAUGGGCAUCCAUGGGGAGUGGUGAACAUGGGAGGGGGUGCAGGACCCUCUGUAGGCUCCUUCCCAGGUGAGGGGAGCACAGGGCUGGGAGCUUCCUUGGAGUUAUUGAUGUCAGCAGUAGCAGAAGUGAUUCAGAAGAGGAUUUUUUUCACUUAAUUGCCUUUUAGAAAUGUGGAAGGGAGGGAAAUGAGAAGGGAAAAGAAAAACCAAAGAAGAAAAUAAAGCUAGCUUGCAUUUAGAAAUGAAAUAUUUAAUGGAAAAGGAAUUUGAGUUUGUUUGGACUGUAACAAAAGACUUUGCUCCACCAAAACUGAGCUGAUUCUGAGCAGAAACUUUUUAAAAAAGAUUUGAGCUAAAAAAAGGAUAUUUUGAAGGUAAAAUAACUCACUUUUAGUCCAAAUGGUUAAAAUUCUGUUCGAGGUUUGGGAAAGGAAGCAAAUUCAGGAAUUUUAGAAGUUUCAGAAAACUUUAAAACACCAUAUCACAAUAAAAGGUGAUCUGGGGAAGAGGAAAGUGUUGCUUUGCUGGAGCAAGAGGGCCGGAAAAGGGAGAAGCCAGUGGCCGCCCUGAGUGGCUCUGUCCUUGCCCUGAUGCCCCUGAGAUCACCCUGAGCACUUUAAGAUCACGAGAUACUGAGAACAAAGAGUUUGUGUUCUCUUUUUUGCACUUUAGUUCCCUGUCUUUUGGGGCUCCCAAAGCUGUUCAGCUUUUUUAGGGCAGGUUAGAAACCACUUCUUAAAGAAAGCAGAGUGGAAAAUCACAUAUAACAUGGCUCCAAGAGGGUGAUGCUUUCAGAAAAAUAGCAAAAAUAAGGAUUCCUUGGAAAAAUAAAUAAUUAAGACGUGAUGAGCACAGGAGGUCAGUGGUAUUUCAUGCACUUCUUUGUUAUUCAUCUCCUUGCUUUUGCUUUGGGAUUCCUUGAGCAGAGAUCAUCGUGGAUGUUUGCACAGCCUUUUGCAGAUGAAUAUGAAAUAGCAGUGGGAUGCUGCAAUAAGGGAUGGGGAAGGCAGAAGGGGCUGUGUAUGAUGAGUGUAGCAUUAUUUUGGUAUCUGACAUAUGGAAUGGAACAGGACUCACUGUGCUAGAUCCUGGACCUAGAUGGAAAAAGCAAGAUAACAUUUUUGCUGUUGAAGUUUACAAUCACAGCUUUAAGCGAAAGAGUAGCUUCUGGGGAUGGGGUCUUUUCUGUUGCUGACUUUCUGCAAGACCCUGGGGAGCACCAAGGUGGGGUUGAGGACUGGGAACACCCUCCCACAGCCCACCCAUCCCUUGGCACCAGCCUGGAUGCUGCCAUGUGGGAGACUCCUGGGGUCCCACACUAGCUGGGGACCAGGCUGCUGCCACCUCCUCACCCUGAGCUUGGUCCUUUGCAGCUCCACUUAGUCCCUACCUGCCCAGCAAAGCACCAGCAUCCAGCCCCUGGGAGCUCCUUGCUUCCGCUCCUCUGGGAUGCUUGUGAGGAUUAGCCAAGCUAUGCUCCCUAAACCCAUCACAUGCGUUUCAAUAGUUUUAAUUGUUGCCUUUAAGAUAAUUACAGGCUGGAGAGAGCGGACAGGAAGAGCCCUGUGGAUUUGCACCGGGGCUUGGGCGUACCGCUGUGUACGGUACGGGAGAUUUGCCACUUAGCAGUGUUUUUCCUGCUUGGGAGAGUGAUUUACACGCCACAGCACCACAACAGGGAAGGACUGCAGGUCCCCACUCCCAUGGCUGGAACAACUGGAGCAAGGGGUCACCCUGCCCUGGGGGAAAGCAUCCCCCAGCACCGGGCUCAGAAGGUGCUGGCUCUUGAUCAUUUAAGCCACAGGUUUCGCCUCCUUCCCAAGCCCGUUCAGAAGGGAAUGCACACCUGAAGUGAGCAGGACGCCAAACAUCAGACUCACAGCAGGGCAGGGAGCACCCAGGGCCUCCCUUGCUCAGACAUGAGGUAUCAACUUCACUCAGCUCCAGUACUCUCCUUGGCUCUUAGUGAGGUGGACCACACCUGAGGUUUUUUAGCAUAUUAUGGUUAUUCCUGGUCCCUUGCUGGCUAUCCAUCCUCCAUCACGAAAGAAAACAUUUUCAUGAUUUUAAAGGGAGAUAUCUCGGUCCCUCCUGUAUCCUGGAGUAAUUCAAUAUUGAGUGAGAGGAGCGUGGUGACUGCUUUUCCCCUGUUCGCACUUUUCUUGCAAUUAUUUUGUUGGAGCUCCCCGCUGAGGAGCAGGGCAGGCUGGCAGCUCUCACAGAUAACAGAACUUCCCAGGUGCUGCCUUGCCACAGAAGAGCUGGGGCAGCACUAAGGACCCCUCUCAGGGCACAGACCUGCCCCAGGGUGAACGGUGCACACAGGGUGUGUCUUCUAAAAAUGCUGCAGACUUUUUCAGUCCCCUAAUGAAGUGCAUCUUGGGUACCCCACAUUAGAGUGCCCAAGCUAAUCCAUAUAGAUUUGCAUGCCCAGGGGCACCCGUGUGUUUUGCUAUCCAGGCUGUGGCGUUGCCAUGGUUUAAGGUGCUGCUGCUGACCAGCGGUUCGUUCACAUCCCUCAGAUGGAUGGGACCAGCCUGGCGGCUGAGUAGCAACAACGGUGGUGCAAGAUGCUAAACCUGGAGGGCUUUGCUCUCACCCAUCUGACCUUGGGCUGAAGAGGAUGAGGAGCACUCCCUGCCUUGUCCUGGAACCUUCCCCAGCAGGAGAUGGGAAACUCCCCACCUCUCAAAGAUUUCCUGCCCAAAUGAGAAAAAACAACCCAGACCCCAUUUUUUUCUGGAGAUCUCCAGCCCAGUGUGCCAUCAUGAAACCCAGCAAGGGGUUCUUGCCCUUGCAUUUGUAGUGGCCUCUUUAUCACUGAUGCAUUUUAAAAUGAAGGUAAGAUUUCAUCUAAAUUCAAGAAACUGCUCUAGUUCAACCUGCUGAUUGCAGGACAUAUCAUGGCUGGUGUGGUUUGGAGGAUCGGUGGGUCACUUGCAGACAUCGAAACUAGUGGUUAAUGAAGGGAUAAUGUGGGGCCAAACACACUGAGGAUACAAUUUGUUGUAGUAUUGAAUCCAUAGAAAUCCAUUUAAUAGUGUGUCCCCUAAAUUGCUGCCCCUUUUCCACCCUAACUCCUAACCUGGAAAUAAUCCCAGCAGGAAAAAAGGGAAAUAGCUCAAAUAUUAAAAUGUGGUGAACGUGGGCUGGGUCCCUGUGCAGGUGGAGGGGAUGGGGAUGGGUCCCAUUGCUGCUGCUGAGGCAAGUCUGGGGACACUCUCUGCCCUCCUAGUGGGGUUCAAGACCUACAUCUGCAGGUGGUUGGGUUAGAUGUCAACCGCACCCCAAAUCCAGAGCUGAGCAUCUGAGGGGUUCGGCAAGGAUGGGAUAUUCCCCUCCAUGAGCUGCACCAGCUGUCCUUCGCAUCCCUGAUCUCUUCUCCCUCUCCCCUGCCGCUUUCCUCCCCCUGUGAUAUGAUGCAUUGGCAGAGAAAUAAAAUAAUCAGAUAUUGCUUUAUUACUUUCCACCCGUACUUCCCUCACGGGCAUCUGUAUUUCUGCAAAUGCUUUUAAUAUUUGCUAAUAAAAGCAGCUCCAGUAAUGACAUGCUCGCUCCCCAAGACAAAAUUGCCGGGACUGGCGUUAUCUAACAAACUCUUUCUGGCACAAGCGCGUCUGCAUACGAGCCAUUUCUGCCCAUUCACAGGAUUAUCAGCCAUCUCUGCAGCCAGCCCCAGCCCUCCUCUCUCAUUCCUAGUUAAUUGGUGUGAAAUUGGAGCAAGUUCUCAGGUGAUAAUGUGUUUGCAUUUACUGCUUCACUGAACCACCCUAGCCACUCAAUCCCAGCUUCAUUAAAGCCUCAAUCUCAGCUUUUGCUCCUGGCUGUGAGCUUCAAACCCUAUUUCCUGCGUGGCAGACAUACAGCCUAACACAUGUCAGGCAGACAGCUUGAGCGGAGCUGCUGGGAACAAGCGAGGCUACUGCCUGGGCGCCGCUCCGGGAAAAUCACGUUCGCAGCGGGAGAGAGAUGCUCGGAGUCCCCACGAUGGCUUCACGCUGCGUUGGUUGGCUCCCCGCGCUUGAAAAAGGCAUGUUUUGUGCCCUUUAAUUAUCUUUGAUUAAUGAAUUAAUUUUUUUUUCCUGCAGCACUUUGAAGAUAAAAAGCCUUCGUCUGAAUUAUGUGAUUAGUAUUUAAAGACUCAAGUGAAAUAUUUGUAGGCAGAAAAACCUAACCGAGGAAUGCCUGUGUUCAAACAUUCAGUAGGGCCUAUUCACAGGAUCGGAUUCCAGGGUUAUUAUUAGCAAUAAGGUUAUCUUUGGCAUAAUCUUUUUAUGCACAACAUGCUACUGGAUUCCACCCUCCCUGUUUUGCUCGGGCCCUGGGGCAGAAGGUAUACAAAUUAGAGCUGGUUCCAGCCUUGCAAGUGUUCUUCAUGCAAGUGGAGCUGAAGUCUGCUGAGGUCUGCCACGAUUAUAUUUAGGACCAUCCAUAAAGUUUUUUGGUGCGUGAUGCGUGCCCCAGGAUGCUCCCAUGUUGGGGGGAUAAGUGUGGUGCUGCCCCUGGGGUAGCUCCAGCUCUGCCAGCACAUGCUGCCGUGGACCCACUGUGCAUUGGAGACAUCUGUGACACCCCAUGAGGUGACCCUUCAAACUGUGGAUGGAAAGGGAUGGGUCGGGCUGGUCCUAUGCCUGCAGGUCGUGGAGGCGGCUCCGAGCAUCUCCCCGGUAUGUGGGAUUUCACAGGUCUGGACAUAGGUCUGUGCUUGGACAGGUCUGGACGCAGUCAGGGAGAGCAAAGCACUGUCAGACACACCGCUGUGUGAAGCUCUCUUUUGUGAAGCCCAAAGCAGCUCUCUGCUGGGGUAGAUGUUGCCAGGGGGUCCUGUCUGCCCCCAGCCUCAGCUGGGAGUGCUGAGACACGAGUGGGGCUGGUUGGGUUGCAGGCUUGGGGGAAUAGGUUGAUCUGGGCAUGAAAGCAGAGAGCAGCUGCCUCCUGCCUCUUAAUUUGGUUGUACUUCUAGCUCUUGCAAAGCUGAAGGUAGGAGUUGGGGUUUGUUGUUGUUGGGUUUUUUGGUGGUUUGUUGGUUGUUGGUUUUUUUUUUAAUAGGUGGUGGGUGUGAUUUUUCAAAUGCGCUCCCCUUUGGCACGUCUCUGCAGGCGACGUCAGUGAGAGCCCCAGGAUGCCUCCGCCGGAGCCCAGGAACACCUUCCUUUGAAACUCACCCCAUGUGUCUCCCCAGAUCCAACCGCUGAGCAUCACAGGUGGGAGGAGGCAAGGCCACAUUUGGCAGCAGUCCUUCACCCCAAACAGCUCAGCCUCUGCACGUGGUCCCCUGCUUACCCCGAAACCAGCUCCAAAAGUCCAUCGGGGCUACUCAUCCGUGCCCCGGGUCCCCAGCCUGGGUCCAGGCAGAGCAAAAAUACACAGAGGCACAUUAAAGGAUGGCCGGUGUGGCUUUGAAACAGCGCAGCGAUCCCCUGUAGCCUGGUUUUUGGAGAAGGGUGAGACAGAUCCCUGGCAGGAUGAAGACUUGGACAAAACCAUGGGGAAAAAUAAUAAAUAAACCCUGGCUAUAUGUAAGUGUUGUGGCCACAGUCCAGUGUCUGUUGAGUUCAGUGGGAACCUUUCCUUGACUUUGCCGCACUGGGUCAGACCUCAGGAAUGUGCCUCCUGCUUUGAUGGUUUUGCUAUUGGUAGGUCAGCUCGGAAAAUCAGAAAAUCAGCAGCUUCACUUUGCACAGGCUGUUCCCAGGCUGAGCUUCACCUGGCUUCAGCGACUCACUGCAGCUCAUGUCAUCUUGUUUUGACUCAGUCUCCUGCGACUCACCUGUCCCUGGGGAGCUGGCGAUGUGGGAUCAUCUCCCUGUCAGAGGACUUUUCCCCACCUGGGGUCCUGUGCCUCCCUGUGUGGGCAAGGAUCCUCCCAGGGAAGAGUUUCUCCCAGCAGUUUUGGACACAAGCAGUAAGAUUUACCUUUCCCGCAUCUGAGAAGGGUGGUAUCUCCUGCCAUGGUCCCUGCACAACAUAUAUACAAUCUAUAUAUAGUGUAUGUGUAU